rnacentral:rRNA from 1 species
UACGUAGGGUGCAAGCGUUAAUCGGAAUUACUGGGCGUAAAGCGUGCGCAGGCGGUUUUUUAAGACAGAUGUGAAAUGCCCGGGCUUAACCUGGGAACUGCAUUUGUGACUGCAUGGCUAGAGUUUGGCAGAGGGGGGUAGAAUUCCACGUGUAGCAGUGAAAUGCGUAGAUAUGUGGAGGAACACCGAUGGCGAAGGCAAUCCCCUGGGCCUGCACUGACGCUCAUGCACGAAAGCGUGGGGAGCAAACAGG